GCCUUAUGUGGCUGAGUGGCAAAGGACAUGUUGGUAGAGAAUGAGGCUCUUAAUCUCAGGGUCAAGGGUUCAAGCCCCAAGUUGGGCA